GUCGUAACAAGGUCUCCGUUGGUGAACCAGCGGAGGGAUCAUUACCGAGUUUUCAACUCCCAAACCCUUUUGUGAACAUACCUAUCGUUGCUUCGGCGGACUCGCCCCAGCGUCCGGCCGGCCCCGCGCCGGCCGCGGCCUGGAUCCAGGCGGCCGCCGGAGACCCCCAAACUCUGUAUUCUCAGUAUCUUCUGAAUCCGCCGCAAGGCAAAACAAAUGAAUCAAAACUUUCAACAACGGAUCUCUUGGUUCUGGCAUCGAUGAAGAACGCAGCGAAAUGCGAUAAGUAAUGUGAAUUGCAGAAUUCAGUGAAUCAUCGAAUCUUUGAACGCACAUUGCGCCCGCCAGCAUUCUGGCGGGCAUGCCUGUUCGAGCGUCAUUUCAACCCUCGACUUCCCUUUGGGGAAAUCGGCGUUGGGGACCGGCCGUAUACCGCCGGCCCCGAAAUGAAGUGGCGGCCCGUCCGCGGCGACCUCUGCGUAGUAAUCCAACUCGCACCGGAACCCCGACGUGGCCACGCCGUAAAACCCCCGACUUCUGAACGUUGACCUCGGAUCAGGUAGGAAUACCCGCUGAACUUAAGCAUAUCA
rnacentral:rRNA from 1 species